rnacentral:snRNA from 1 species
GUGCUCGCUUCGGCAGCACAAUACUAAAAUUAGAACAAUACAGAGAAGAUUAGCA